AAAAAAAAAAAAAAAAUUGGUGUAGAUCAACCUUAAUCGACUACCAAAGCAUAGUCGAUUAAGAAUCUGCUAAUAAAAAUAACAAAUCACAACUGCAAAAAAAAUGCAAAAUCAACUACAUUUUUCAAAAACAAAAAAUAUACCAACAUUAUAAUUGAUUUAUACAAUUGGAAUCAAUAAACAAAAAAUCCAAAAAAAAAAAAAAAAAAAAAAACGGAGUUGAUCAACCUUAAUCGACUACCAGAGCAUAGUCGAUUACCUUAAUCGACUAUUGAACAUGUACAUAGUCGAUUAAGAUUCCAGCCUGCGCGAAUUUCUCUACACGCGCCUUCCUCCGCCCGAUCCACCAAAAAACCCUAAAUCUGCCUCCCCAUCGUCACCACACCGCCGCCACAACCAAUCUCUAACAAGAAUAAAAUAAAUAAUUCAUACAAAAAAACACAAAUUAGCAUUUCAAUGUCAAAAAAAAAAAAAAAAAACAGAAACGAUUCAAGGUAUUGACAACCCACUGCGUCCUCGACGACGAGCACCAGUCAUCAGCUUCAACGUCUCGGUGGAAACCACCGCUGCCAACUACAGAUCCGUCACCACCCUUAGGAGUUUAAUGCAUCUUCAUCGUCUUAUUUUGAUCCAUAAACGUUGACAGCAUCGUAUGCUCCUGUUUUAUGAUAUAGAGCCUCCAACUUACAGUCAUCUACCAACCGGAGAAAAUGAUCGAUCUGUUGAAGCUUGUUAGUUAAUUACCGCAGCAGUAAACAAUUAACAAUUAUGUUAACUGUGUCGAUUUAAUAAACAAUAUCAAAAGCCUAAGAGGAACAGGCCAAAAACUAAUGCAGUAAACCACCCUUCACACGGCGGCGGGAGGUGGCGACAAACACUCUUCCACCACCACCACCGCCGGUCGACGUUUUGCUUUUCCUCCGAAUUUCAGUCGAGAAGAGAAGAGAGAAGAGAGAAGAUGAGAAAAUGAGAAAAUGAGAAGAAAGAAAUGCAAAUGAAAUGGGUUAGUGUUUUGAAACGUGAAAAUGAGAUUUAAUAUUAAUAAG
rnacentral:lncRNA from 1 species